UACGGGGGGGGCAAGCGUUGUUCGGAAUUACUGGGCGUAAAGGGCUCGUAGGUGGCCAACUAAGUCAGACGUGAAAUCCCUCGGCUUAACCGAGGAACUGCGUCUGAUACUGGAUGGCUUGAGUUUGGGAGAGGAAUGCGGAAUUCCAGGUGUAGCGGUGAAAUGCGUAGAGAUCCGGAGGAACACCAGCGGCGAAGGCGGCAUCCUGGACUGGUACUGACGCUCAUGAGCGAAAGCGUGGGGAGCGAGUCCGG
rnacentral:rRNA from 1 species